rnacentral:rRNA from 1 species
GACGAACGCUGGCGGCGUGCUUAACACAUGCAAGUCGAACGGAAAGGCCCUGCUUUUGUGGGGUGCUCGAGUGGCGAACGGGUGAGUAACACGUGAGUAACCUGCCCUUGACUUUGGGAUAACUUCAGGAAACUGGGGCUAAUACCGGAUAGGAGCUCCUGCUGCAUGGUGGGGGUUGGAAAGUUUCGGCGGUUGGGGAUGGACUCGCGGCUUAUCAGCUUGUUGGUGGGGUAGUGGCUUACCAAGGCUUUGACGGGUAGCCGGCCUGAGAGGGUGACCGGCCACAUUGGGACUGAGAUACGGCCCAGACUCCUACGGGAGGCAGCAGUGGGGAAUAUUGCACAAUGGGCGGAAGCCUGAUGCAGCAACGCCGCGUGCGGGAUGACGGCCUUCGGGUUGUAAACCGCUUUCGCCUGUGACGAAGCGUGAGUGACGGUAAUGGGUAAAGAAGCACCGGCUAACUACGUGCCAGCAGCCGCGGUGAUACGUAGGGUGCGAGCGUUGUCCGGAUUUAUUGGGCGUAAAGGGCUCGUAGGUGGUUGAUCGCGUCGGAAGUGUAAUCUUGGGGCUUAACCCUGAGCGUGCUUUCGAUACGGGUUGACUUGAGGAAGGUAGGGGAGAAUGGAAUUCCUGGUGGAGCGGUGGAAUGCGCAGAUAUCAGGAGGAACACCAGUGGCGAAGGCGGUUCUCUGGGCCUUUCCUGACGCUGAGGAGUGAAAGCGUGGGGAGCGAACAGGCUUAGAUACCCUGGUAGUCCACGCUGUAAACGGUGGGUACUAGGUGUGGGGUCCAUUCCACGGGUUCCGUGCCGUAGCUAACGCUUUAAGUACCCCGCCUGGGGAGUACGGCCGCAAGGCUAAAACUCAAAGGAAUUGACGGGGCCCCGCACAAGCGGCGGAGCAUGCGGAUUAAUUCGAUGCAACGCGUAGAACCUUACCUGGGUUUGACAUGGAUCGGGAGUGCUCAGAGAUGGGUGUGCCUCUUUUGGGGUCGGUUCACAGGUGGUGCAUGGCUGUCGUCAGCUCGUGUCGUGAGAUGUUGGGUUAAGUCCCGCAACGAGCGCAACCCUUGUUCACUGUUGCCAGCACGUUAUGGUGGGGACUCAGUGGAGACCGCCGGGGUCAACUCGGAGGAAGGUGGGGAUGACGUCAAGUCAUCAUGCCCCUUAUGUCCAGGGCUUCACGCAUGCUACAAUGGCUGGUACAGAGAGUGGCGAGCCUGUGAGGGUGAGCGAAUCUCGGAAAGCCGGUCUCAGUUCGGAUUGGGGUCUGCAACUCGACCUCAUGAAGUCGGAGUCGCUAGUAAUCGCAGAUCAGCAACGCUGCGGUGAAUACGUUCCCGGGGCU